GUGGCUAUGGUGAAGCGGCAUCACGGCAGGAUGUGGCCCUGCAAUCAGCGGUUCGACUCCGCUUAGCCACCCCA
rnacentral:tRNA from 3 species